UUGACUUAGGAAUGAGGUGAGAGGUACAGUUGCAAAGCUCAAGUUGCCUGUUGCGACAACAGUUGAUAAUGCAGGGCGCUGAAACUGUAUCGGUCGCUCACAGUUUACGCGUUCUCCUCAGCGAAGCGACAUUUUCGUUGCUUGAUGCUCACCGAAGCCACCUCAUCAUCGUUGAGUGUUUCUUUUAGGCUUAUGCUGAAGUCCAUGUGUGUUUGUGCACUUUGAAGGAUUAACGCGUUUGAUGCGUCCGCAUUAUAGAAUGAAAAACGUUGCGGCUUAGAACAUACAACAAUUUUACAAUUUUAGAUCAUGAAUGCCUUAUAAUUUUGGACAAACAGGAAUUCUCUUUUGAAAGUGCGGAAAAAAAUUUACCAAUAUUGUACAAAAUCAGGAGAUAAUGUUUCAUGGACUGUUUUGGCAACAAGUUAAUUUCAUAUGUCUCUACGGGCUCCUUUUUAUUUCUACAACAACAUGGUGGUCCAGAACGCUUAUGACGGCGGCGUAUCAAUAUUCAGUGGUUGCGCUCAAGAGUCAUAAGUGGUAGACAUUUGAGCUUUUUAAAAAAGGCUCGCACUUUGUCAUAUGUUCUCUUUAGUUUAAUAAUAAUUGAAUGGUCCAACUCUCCAAAGUCCUGAAAUUUUACUUUGGAGCAAUGAUAUCAUCCCAAUUCAAUCGUUAAUCCUCAGUUAACGCAUUAAAAUAAAAGCUAAGACAAUGGUUAGUUUGACGGUUUUAAGUAUUGUGUGCACCUUAUGUCAAUGGUCGAUAAUAGUUGUAGGAAAUGUAAGCGUUUGGGCUAAACUCGCUUAUCUUACCGGGUUUCACUUGACAACCCUUGAGCUCUAUGAGCGCGGAUAUUUCGGGUAAGGAUCAGUGGCGUGGUGUGAUUCGAUAUAUAUCGAUAUUUCCCCAUUUGAAGCUAUGGUAAACAAUCGAUUAUUCAGGUGUUUGCAACGAACACCCUGUUUAUCGAUCCUUUUCUAUAGGUUUAAAGGGCAUAACAAUCGAUCUAUCGCAAUCCACACCACGCCACUGGUAAGGAUACUGACGCGUGCAUGCACACAUAGAAAGUAUCAACGUUUCUGUUAGUUCUACAUGUAAUAAGUAUACUGUAAACACUACUGUAAAAUAGAGCAAUAAAUAAUUGAAUUGAAUCAAUAAUGAA